CGCUGGCGGCACGCCUUAUACAUGCAAGUCGAACGAAGUAGCAAUACUUAGUGGCAGACGGGUGAGUAACAUGUAGGUAUCUUCCCUUUGGUGAGGAAUAACACGAGGAAACUUGUGCUAAUACCUCAUAAGUCUUUACGGAGAAAGCUUUAUGCGCCGAAGGAUGAGCCUGCACUUGAUUAGUUUGUUGGUGGGGUAAUGGCCUACCAAGACUUUGAUCUAUAGCUGAUCUGAGAGGAUGAUCAGCCACAUUGGGACUGAGACACGGCCCAAACUCCUACGGGAGGCAGCAGUAGGGAAUAUUGCACAAUGGAGGAAACUCUGAUGCAGCGAUGCCGCGUGAGUGAAGAAGGCCUUUGGGUUGUAAAGCUCUUUCGUCGGGGAAGAAAAUGACUGUACCCGAAUAAGAAGGUCCGGCUAACUUCGUGCCAGCAGCCGCGGUAAUACGAAGGGACCUAGCGUAGUUCGGAAUUACUGGGCUUAAAGAGUUCGUAGGUGGUUAAAAAAGUUGGUGGUGAAAUCCCAGAGCUUAACUCUGGAACUGCCAUCAAAACUUUUUAGCUAGAGUAUGAUAGAGGAAAGCAGAAUUUCUAGUGUAGAGGUGAAAUUCGUAGAUAUUAGAAAGAAUACCAAUUGCGAAGGCAGCUUUCUGGAUCAUUACUGACACUGAGGAACGAAAGCAUGGGUAGCGAAGAGGAUUAGAUACCCUCGUAGUCCAUGCCGUAAACGAUGUGUGUUAGACGUUGGAAAUUUAUUUUCAGUGUCGCAGCGAAAGCAUUAAACACACCGCCUGGGGAGUACGACC
rnacentral:rRNA from 1 species